rnacentral:rRNA from 1 species
CACGGGGGGAGCAAGCGUUGUUCGGAAUCACUGGGCGUAAAGGGCGCGUAAGUGGCUGGGUAAGUGUGCGGUGAAAGUCCGGGGCUCAACCCCGGAUCGGCCGUGCAGACUGCCUGGCUUGAGCAUAGUAGAGGCAGGUGGAAUUCCGGGUGUAGCGGUGGAGUGCGUAGAGAUCGGGAAGAACAUCAGUGGCGAAGGCGGCCUGCUGGGCUGUUGCUGACGCUGAGGCGCGACAGCGUGGGGACGCAA